UGAAUUCUGUUUAUUUGCAAAAUUUUAUCCUUUCAUGAUUUCCAUGCAUAAUUUAUCACCUAGACUCUUAUAACAACAAAUACCUUCAUACUUAACCAUUUUAAUAACCAUACAUCAUCAAAUACUUACACACCAUUCUUUAGCAAAAUCAUAAUCACAAACAUACAAAAUAACUAAAUCCCUAUACAUGCCAUAACUCAAACGUGAUUCGAUAUAAAAUACCGAGCAGUUGUGGUUGAUAGUGUGGACGAUCUCCGACUUCUUUAGGAUCCUUGAAGUAGCUUUGCAAUACUAUAAGAGAAAGAGAAAUAAAAGAAGUAAGCAUAAAGCUUAGUAAGUUUACUAGCAAAUAAAUAACAAUAUUUAACUUAAAUAAUUAAACUCAAAUGUCUAUAUCUCUAGUUGACUCUUUAGUUAAUCUCAUACUAGUUCUCUUGCUUGUUUACUUAGAAUACUUGUGUACAUAACUUACUCAACUCUUGCUGCAUCGUUGAACAUCAAUUGAUAGUAUAAUAAGUUCUUAACUCUUAUAACUUACCUGAGCUUGCCAUUUAUGCUUUAAACUGAACUUUCAUGAACAUAAUUCGUUUACAAGCCCGUUGAGCUACAUUGGAAUAAUAAGGAUACUCGGGUCUCUUCUGAUAAUAACAUGCCAAAGCCAUGUCCCAGACAUGGUCUUACAUGGGAUGUUCUCAUGUUGGUGCCCAUGCCAUGUCCCAGACAUGGUCUUAUAGGGGACCUCUCAUCUCGAUGCCAACGCCAUGUCCCAGACAUGGUCUUACAUGGGACCUCUCGUCUCGGUGCCCAUGCCAUGUCCCAGACAUGGUCUUACAUGGGACCUCUCGUCUCGGUGCCCAUGCCAUGUCCCAGACAUGGUCUUACAGGGGACCUCUUAUGAUCUUAAGGAUGCCAAUGCCAUGUCCCAGACAUGGUCUUACAUGGGAUCUCUUUACCCAAAUGUCAUGACAUUCGUAUCCAGUACCAUCCUUAUGUAUCAACGGGACUUUUAAAUUUUAAUUCUCUAUCAUUUCAUGCUUAGAUCAUCAUCAAAUAAAUUCAUAAAAUAAAUUCAUAGUUGCUGGAAAAUAACAGCAUUGAUAAUAAAUAUUGAAAUAUUGCAUUUAUUUACCGUAAACUUACCUCGGUAUCAAAUAUUCAACAACUUAGUCUUCAACUUUAUUCUUCCCUUUGUCUAACCUCGAGUUUCGUUCUUCUUGAUCUAAAAUAGCAAAUUUAACUUAUUUAAUACUCACAUUCAACAAAACAGCCCUUGACUCUAACUUUUUUAAAAUUACAAUUUUGCCCCUAAACUUUUACAUAAUUACAUUUUUGACCCAAGGCUCGGAAAUUAAACUUCAUCCCUUAUUCUUAUGUUUUAUGACAUGAUGAACAUUUUUCUCUUCUAUGCCAACAUCAAAUUCCCACUCUAACAUGUACUUAUGAACAUUAGGUAUUUUUACCGAUUAUGUCGUUUUACUCGUUUUUACUUAAAAUCGGCUAACAAAAGUUGUUUAACAUAAUUUCUAGCUUCAUAUUCUAUCAUAAAACAUCAAAAUAAACACUUUUCACCUAUGGGUAUUUUUCCAAAUAUAAACCCUAGGUUAAAUUAUUGCUAGAAUAAGCUAAAUUAAGCUACCGGGACUCCAAAAACGUAAAAAAAACAUUAAAAACGGGACUUGGGAUCACUUACUAUGGAGCUUGGAAGCUUGAAAACCCUAACUAUGGC
rnacentral:lncRNA from 1 species